UUCAAUGGACAUAAGACCUGGAUUACAAAAAUACAUAGUUCAAAAAAGGAAACCUAAAACAUGUCCCACUAUCAAUAAACACAUACAAGCAAAAGGUCUUAUUCACAUGUACAAGUCUUCGUCAACCAAAUCGAUCUCCUCCCAAUUGACAAUCCUUUAACUUAUACUCUACAGGGAUGGAAAAAGAAAAAUGAGUUAUAAAGCCCAAUAAGAGGAUCUAGAAGUUAUGCAUCUAUAACAUAUUUAUUAUGCCAUUAUAAUGAAUUCCUUUAUCUAUAAGCAAUCAUAAUGGAAAGAAUAUCAUGUUAGCAAUCUUCCAAUACAUUCAUCACAUAUGGCAUAUCGCAUAUCAUGCUUAUCAUAAAACUAGUAUCACUACCAGUAUUCACAAUCACACAUUCAAUUGAUAGCGACUCACUCAUUAGAUUCACCUACUCCCAAAGUAUAAGUCAUAUACAUCAAGCCAAGCCAAUCCCAUUAUUUAUGACUUCUACUAUUACUCCGGAGAGAGGGUAAUGACAAUGGCUGCCUCAUGCGGUAAUGCCCUCAUACUCACACACACAGUCCCCAUCGCGUUUUUGGGCUUUUGAUAUGUACUUGCCUUGUAAUACACAGUUUACUAUUUACUUAUUACAAUACACUGAAUUUCGGGGGGCACGACCCACCCAUUACACUUUUCACCUAUCUCCCCUCCUAUCAUACAGGGAGUUAGGAAACAUUGUCGGCCUUACUCUUUUAUCAAGUCACAUCAUACCACUACGGGUAACCCCGUGCGUGGUGUCAUUGAAUCACUUAACUAUUAUUAAACACAAUAGAGGGUCAUGCUUAGAGCAUGCUAUUAGAACACUCUUCAUUCAACAUUCAUCACUUUGGCAUUUAGGCCUUUC
rnacentral:lncRNA from 1 species